AGGAACCUGCCACAUGUCAUAGCCAGCCAGAGUACUGAUGCUGAGGGUGCUAUGGGCCAAUUCCAUGAGCUCAUCUAUCACAGAGGGCCACUGACUCCCUUCUGGUCCCACCGGUAUAAAACCGAGGCACUCCCAGCAAGUGUCCUGUCAUUUUGAAGAGAGCAGAUUGCAGAAAGAAGCUCCUGUCCACGUAUGGACCAGACUACAGAGCUUUGAACCUGGCUGAUUGCUUUAUUUUAUUACUUAACAUUUUGUUAUUAUUCUGCCAUCAAGAGCCUGUUUAAGCUGUUUGGACUUGGAAAAAGAUUAAAAGGGACAACCAUGUUGGUCCCCCAAAAUUU